CUUGAACUUGUGAUCCUCUUGCCUCAGCCUCCCUGAUAGUUGGGAUUACAGGCAUGGGCUGCUGUGCUAGCCUGACUUGCCAAGUUCCUGUUUCCUUUCCUGUGGCUUCUGUUUUGUAGGCUGUUAGAAGUCCUAGAUUCUGGAAGGAAAACAGUAAUGACAUUUCAUGAACACUCUAAGUCUUGCAAAUGUGACAAAUUAUAAUGAAUUUAUAGAUAUAGAGGUUGGGAAAUCCAAUAUCAAGGUACCAGAAUCUGGCAGUGGCCUUACUGUGGCAUCACAUGGCAGAAAGGCAAAGAGAGCAAAUGCAGAAAGGGAUGCACCUACUUACCAGAGGGCAUUAAUCCAUCCAGGAGCUGCAUACCUCUUAAAAGUCCCAUGUCCCAGUACUGUCACAAUGGCAGUUAAGUUUCACCAUGAGUUUUGUAGAGGUUGGACAUUCAAACCAUAGCACUUGAUGGUAGUGAGAGAUGUUCAUACACUGUUUCUCUUCCUUUAUUUACCAUCAGCCUAGGAACUGCCACUCUUCCUCGUCUCCACCUGAUGCCUUGCCCUUGUACUUGGUCAUCAUUGUAGUUGGUCUUUGCUGAUCUUUUCUUUAACAACAAUAAGAACAAAAUCUAUUGCUUUUACAUACUAAAAAUGGGAACUUCUUAAGGUCAUUUAUUCAAAUUUCAGAAACCUAGAAUAUAUAAAAUACCAAACGUAAGAACACUGUGUGUUUUCGUUCUUGUAUCCUAUCACUCAUUCUUAGUUUUCUUAGUUUUCAUAUCAGGUUUCUCAGAUAUUAAAAUUCAUCCAGGUUUGAAUGUACAAUUAAAAGGAAUCAUGACAAAAAACAGUUGGAUUUUGUUGGGACUACAAAAUUGGUUCAAUAGCCAAAAAUGAUCUUCUCCUCUGGUAUAUUGUAUUAUUGUUACAGGUAUUGUGAUAGACACAGAAAAAGCAUUUGACAAAAUCUAUAUUCUUUGGUAAUAAAAGUAUUCAACAAACUAGGAAUGGAAUGGAACUUCCUUGGCCUGGUAAAGGAUAUCUAUGAAAUACCCUCAGCUAACAUCUUACUUCAGGGUGACAGACUGUAUGCUCUAGGGCUGGGGCUGGGGCUCAGUGGUAGAGUGUUU
rnacentral:lncRNA from 1 species